UUGAACGCUGGCGGCAUGCCUUACACAUGCCAGUCGAACGGUAACGGGCCUUCGGGUGCCGACGAGUGGCGAACGGGUGAGUAAUACAUCGGAACAUGCCCGAUCGUGGGGGAUAACGAGGCGAAAGCUUUGCUAAUACCGCAUACGAUCUACGGAUGAAAGCAGGGGACCGCAAGGCCUUGCGCGGACGGAGCGGCCGAUGGCAGAUUAGGUAGUUGGUGGGAUAAAAGCUUACCAAGCCGACGAUCUGUAGCUGGUCUGAGAGGAUGAUCAGCCACACUGGGACUGAGACACGGCCCAGACUCCUACGGGAGGCAGCAGUGGGGAAUUUUGGACAAUGGGCGCAAGCCUGAUCCAGCCAUGCCGCGUGCAGGAUGAAGGCCUUCGGGUUGUAAACUGCUUUUGUACGGAACGAAAAGCCUUCUUUUAAUACAGGAGGGUCAUGACGGUACCGGAAGAAUAAGCACCGGCUAACUACGUG
rnacentral:rRNA from 1 species